GAUGAAGAACGUAGUAAAAUGCGAUAAGUAAUGUGAAUUGCAGAAUUCAGUGAAUCAUCGAAUCUUUGAACGCACAUUGCGCCCGCCAGUAUUCUGGCGGGCAUGCCUGUUCGAGCGUCAUUUCAACCCUCAAGCCCUCGGGUUUGGUGUUGGGGAUCGGCGAGCCUUUCUGGCAAGCCGGCCCCGAAAUCUAGUGGCGGUCUCGCUGCAGCCUCCAUUGCGUAGUAGUAAAACCCUCGCAACUGGAACGCGGCGCGGCCAAGCCGUUAAACCCCCAACUUCUGAAUGUUGACCUCGGAUCAGGUAGGAAUACCCGCUGAACUUAAGCAUAUCAAUAAGCGGAGG
rnacentral:misc_RNA from 1 species